rnacentral:rRNA from 1 species
GCGUGCUUAACACAUGCAAGUCGAACGGAAAGGCCCUGCUUUUGUGGGGUGCUCGAGUGGCGAACGGGUGAGUAACACGUGAGUAACCUGCCCUUGACUUUGGGAUAACUUCAGGAAACUGGGGCUAAUACCGGAUAGGAGCUCCUGCUGCAUGGUGGGGGUUGGAAAGUUUCGGCGGUUGGGGAUGGACUCGCGGCUUAUCAGCUUGUUGGUGGGGUAGUGGCUUACCAAGGCUUUGACGGGUAGCCGGCCUGAGAGGGUGACCGGCCACAUUGGGACUGAGAUACGGCCCAGACUCCUACGGGAGGCAGCAGUGGGGAAUAUUGCACAAUGGGCGGAAGCCUGAUGCAGCAACGCCGCGUGCGGGAUGACGGCCUUCGGGUUGUAAACCGCUUUCGCCUGUGACGAAGCGUGAGUGACGGUAAUGGGUAAAGAAGCACCGGCUAACUACGUGCCAGCAGCCGCGGUGAUACGUAGGGUGCGAGCGUUGUCCGGAUUUAUUGGGCGUAAAGGGCUCGUAGGUGGUUGAUCGCGUCGGAAGUGUAAUCUUGGGGCUUAACCCUGAGCGUGCUUUCGAUACGGGUUGACUUGAGGAAGGUAGGGGAGAAUGGAAUUCCUGGUGGAGCGGUGGAAUGCGCAGAUAUCAGGAGGAACACCAGUGGCGAAGGCGGUUCUCUGGGCCUCUCCUGACGCUGAGGAGCGAAAGCGUGGGGAGCGAACAGGCUUAGAUACCCUGGUAGUCCACGCUGUAAACGGUGGGUACUAGGUGUGGGGUCCAUUCCACGGGUUCCGUGCCGUAGCUAACGCUUUAAGUACCCCGCCUGGGGAGUACGGCCGCAAGGCUAAAACUCAAAGGAAUUGACGGGGCCCCGCACAAGCGGCGGAGCAUGCGGAUUAAUUCGAUGCAACGCGUAGAACCUUACCUGGGUUUGACAUGGAUCGGGAGUGCUCAGAGAUGGGUGUGCCUCUUUUGGGGUCGGUUCACAGGUGGUGCAUGGCUGUCGUCAGCUCGUGUCGUGAGAUGUUGGGUUAAGUCCCGCAACGAGCGCAACCCUUGUUCACUGUUGCCAGCACGUUAUGGUGGGGACUCAGUGGAGACCGCCGGGGUCAACUCGGAGGAAGGUGGGGAUGACGUCAAGUCAUCAUACCCCUUAUGUCCAGGGCUUCACGCAUGCUACAAUGGCUGGUACAGAGAGUGGCGAGCCUGUGAGGGUGAGCGAAUCUCGGAAAGCCGGUCUCAGUUCGGAUUGGGGUCUGCAACUCGACCUCAUGAAGUCGGAGUCGCUAGUAAUCGCAGAUCAGCAACGCUGCGGUGAAUACGUUCCCGGGGCUUGUACACACCGCCCGUCAAGUCAUGAAAGUUGGUAACACCCGAAGCCGGUGGCCUAACCGUUGUGGGGGAGCCGUCGAAGGUGGGACUGGUGAUU